CUUGAGGCCAGUAGUUCAAGAACAGCCUGGCCAACAUGACGAAACCCCAUCUCUACUAAAAAUACAAAAAUUAGCCAGGCGUGGUGGCACGUGCCUGUAGUCCCAGCUACUCGAAGGCUUAGGCAGGAGAAUCGCUUGAAUCAGAGACAGGGAGGCUGCAAUGAGCCGAGAUUGCACCACUGCACUCCAGCCUGGGCGACAGUGCAAGACUCCAUCUCAAAAAUAAAGAGGAAUUGGAGGAGGAAAUAAAUGAAUAAAUGACAAAGGUGACAAAGGACCAAAGAUCUGUGACUUGUGCAAAGAUUGCUCUGUGUUUGCUGCAGGUCUAGAAGAUGUCACAGAAUUUCAAGGAAG
rnacentral:lncRNA from 10 species